rnacentral:misc_RNA from 1 species
AAAAGGCUGGGAUUUGGGUGUUUGCGGGUCCCUGGUCGAUCCGCUCGCCUUGAAUGCAUUAGCAAAGCCCUUGCGGCCUUGGUGUGAUAGUCAUCUACGCCUCGGCUUAGCGCCUUUGAAGGGUUAGGCUUCCAACCGUCCUCACGGACAACUUCAUCAACUUUGACCUCAAAUCAGGCGGGACUACCCGCUGAACUUAA